AGAAUGAACGUUGGCGGCGUGGAUUAGGCAUGCAAGUCGCACGGGCCGCAAGGCCAGUGGCGCAAGGGUGAGUAAGGCGACGGUAACCAACCCCGGGAUCGGGUAUAGCCGCGGGAAACUGCGGGUAAUCCCCGGCGACGUCCUUGAAGGGCAUCCUUCGAGGACCAAAGCUCCGGCGUCGCGGGACGGGCCGUCGUGGUAUUAGCUGGUUGGCGGGGUAACGGCCCACCAAGGCUUUGAUGCCUACCGGGCGUGCGAGCGUGGCCCGGCACACUGGGACUGAGACACUGCCCAGACUCCUACGGGAGGCUGCAGUCGAGAAUCUUCGGCAAUGGGCGCAAGCCUGACCGAGCGACGCCGCGUGGAGGACGAAGGCCUUCGGGUUGUAAACUCCUGUCGAGGGGGAAGAAGGGGCGUUAAAACCCUUGACUGAUCCCUGGAGGAAGCACGGGCUAAGUUCGUGCCAGCAGCCGC
rnacentral:rRNA from 1 species